rfam:Aedes aegypti strain Liverpool supercont1.1124 genomic scaffold, whole genome shotgun sequence.
GUAGCUGUAGUAUAUAUAAUUGGUAAUGCGUCCGUGUACAGAAUGGAAAUUGUGGGUUCAAGUCCCGCCGGCUACA